rnacentral:rRNA from 1 species
AGAGUUUGAUCCUGGCUCAGGACGAACGCUGGCGGCGUGCCUAAUGCAUGCAAGUCGAACGAGAAUAUGUUGAAGUACUUGUACGAAUAUAUAUGACAGUGGCGAACGGGUGAGUAACGCGUGAACAACCAACCCUUCACAGGGGGACAACAUCUGGAAACGGAUGCUAAUACCGCAUAUGCUCACAGUACCGCAUGGUACAGUGAGGAAAACUCCGGUGGUGAAGGACGGGUUCGCGUUCCAUUAGCUAGUUGGUGAGGUAACGGCCUACCAAGGCGACGAUGGUUAGCGGGUCUGAGAGGAUGAUCCGUCACACUGGCACUGGAACACGGGCCAGACUCCUACGGGAGGCAGCAGUGAGGAAUAUUGCGCAAUGGGGGAAACCCUGACGCAGCGACGCCGCGUGGGUGAUGAAGGCCUUCGGGUCGUAAAGCCCUGUCGUAGGGGAAGAACCGGUUGCAGGCUAAUAUCCUGCAGCCUUGACGGUACCCUACAAGAAAGCACCGGCUAACUCCGUGCCAGCAGCCGCGGUAAUACGGAGGGUGCGAGCGUUGUUCGGAAUUACUGGGCGUAAAGAGCGUGUAGGCGGCUGAUCAAGUCCGGUGUGAAAGCCCGGGGCUUACCCCCGGAAGUGCGCUGGAAACUGGUCAGCUAGAGUAUGGGAGAGGGAAGUGGAAUUCCUGGUGUAGCGGUGAAAUGCGUAGAUAUCAGGAGGAACACCGGCGGCGAAGGCGGCUUCCUGGACCAAUACUGACGCUGAGACGCGAAAGCGUGGGGAGCAAACAGGAUUAGAUACCCUGGUAGUCCACGCCGUAAACGAUGGGCACUAGAUGCUGCGGGUAUUGACCCCUGCGGUGUCGUAGUUAACGCGUUAAGUGCCCCGCCUGGGGAGUACGGUCGCAAGAUUAAAACUCAAAGGAAUUGACGG